GGCCUGGCCUAGAAACACUUACAAAACCAGACAUCACCCGAAACAUAUUAGGAAAGUAGUCAGCUGAAAAGUUCAGCUUGAGCUACCAAGAAAAUCAUCAAUCUUUCCUUAAAAUUCCGAAAAUACGGAGCUACCAUCUAAGAAAGAUGAAGGUCAUCAUCUGAAUUGAUACUUGGGGUUCUUGAUUGUUGAAAUCUCGAUGAAAUCCAACAAACUCCAUUCUUAUACUUGAAUUGCUUCAAAGUUUUAACGCUUAAACUUCGAUCUCGCUACACGGCUAAUAGACGUUUGAGAUUCACCUGUCAACCUAGCACUGUUGACAGAUCCGAGUGCACAUGCAAAUAUCCACGUCUUGAUUUUGUAUCUUUGAACACCCUAAACUCUCACUAGUAGAAGCUAAUAUGAUAGAGAACCAACAAGAAUGGAAGCAAAGGAGUUGAAAUCAGAAGUAGAUAGAGGCAAAAGUGUGUCUGACGACAUUUCUGAUAAGUCGUCAGCCUUGUGAUAAGCUAUCAGAUUCAUCGUUAGACAUAAACAGAGAAUUGACCUAAGAUUGAAAGCUGUGAUGAUAUUUUGUGAUAGGUCGUUAAGGAUCUGAUAAGCUAUCAAGAAUGUCGUCAGCCUGAGGCAGCACAGGAGAACUGAAGCAGCGCCUUGACGACAUUUUGUGAUAGGUCGUCAAGGAGUUGAUAAGUCAUCAAGAUUGUGGUCAGCCUUAAGCAGGAAGAGCCAAAAUUGAAGAAGGAGCUGACAACAUUUGUGAUAAGUCAUCAGCCUCUUGAUAAGCUAUCACAAAUGUCGUCACCUAAUUCAAAGAAUUUCUGAAUUUUAUUAUUUUGUUUCCAUAAUUAGGGUGAACUAUUUAAAGCCCUGUUUAGGGUUUUCUUAGGGGUUUCGCACAUUGAGUUUUGACAAUACUUUUGAUAUUUUCUCUCUAAUUUCUUGGCUCGAAAAAGCAAAUAUUUUGAAAAGAUUAUUAUCAUUAUUUUGGGAUUUCCUUUGUGAUAUAAUUUGAGAAUCUCUAGUUUCUAUUCA